rnacentral:piRNA from 1 species
UAUGACUUUUUAUACUGUAUGUCAUGGAGCA